AGCGAACGCUGGCGGCAGGCCUAACACAUGCAAGUCGAACGAACCUUUCGGGGUUAGUGGCGGACGGGUGAGUAACACGUGGGAACGUGCCUUUAGGUUCGGAAUAACUCAGGGAAACUUGUGCUAAUACCGAAUGUGCCCUUCGGGGGAAAGAUUAAUCGCCUUUAGAGCGGCCCGCGUCUGAUUAGCUAGUUGGUUGAGGUAAUGGCUCACCAAGGCGACGAUCAGUAGCUGGUCUGAGAGGAUGAUCAGCCACAUUGGGACUGAGACACGGCCCAAACUCCUACGAGAGGCAGCAGUGGGGAAUCUUGCGCAAUGGGCGAAAGCCUGACGCAGCCAUGCCGCGUGAAUGAUGAAGGUCUUAGGAUUGUAAAAUUCUUUCACCGGGGACGAUAAUGACGGUACCCGGAGAAGAAGCCCCGGCUAACUUCGU
rnacentral:rRNA from 1 species